UACGAAGGGGCGAGCGUUGUUCGGAUUUACUGGGCGUAAAGGGCGCGCAGGCGGCUGUUCAAGUCAGGCGUGAAAGCCCCGGGCUUAACCUGGGAACUGCGCUUGUGACUGCCUCACUAGAGUACGGCAGAGGGGGGUGGAAUUCCACGUGUAGCAGUGAAAUGCGUAGAGAUGUGGAGGAACACCGAUGGCGAAGGCAGCCCCCUGGGUUAACACUGACGCUCAUGCACGAAAGCGUGGGGAGCAAACAGGAUUAGAAACCCGAGUAGU
rnacentral:rRNA from 1 species